rnacentral:tRNA from 1 species
GGAGUGGUGACCGAGUGGUUAAGGUGAUGCACUGAAAACCCACUGGGGCAUGCUCACGUAAGUUUGAAUCUUACCUACGUCC